UAAAGAGUCGGACACGACUGAGCGACUUCACUUUCACUUUCAGAUGCGUUUUAAGAAAGCAACUGAACGCCCUCACUUCCAGUAAUCAUCCUAAGCCUUAUUAAUGGAGGUGUUUGGGGCAGGAGGACAUUUCCUAGGCUGUCUGAAUCACAGAGCUCACAGCUCUGGGAGAAGCCAGCACCUGUGGAAGUUCAGCUACUUCAAGACCACCAUGCUGUGAGGAAGCCCAGUCUAGCCAUAUGGAGAGAUGCUGUGCCAGCCCCAAGCCACUCCAGACAUCCCAGACCAAACACCACAGAGCUGCAUGAAGAAGCCUUCAGAUGAAGUUGGCCUUGGCUUUAGACUGGCUGCAUGAUACCAGAGACCUCAAGUGAGAACCACCCAGUUGAUCCUAUCAACCUCCACAGCCAUGAGAAGUAAUAAUAAAUUAUUGUUUUA